GACGAGGUGGGCGAGAGGUUAAGGCGUUGGACUGCUAAUCCAUUGGGCUCUGCCCGCGUGGGUUCGAAUCCUAUCCUCGUCG
rnacentral:tRNA from 1 species